rnacentral:lncRNA from 1 species
UGAAAUGCAACGAAGUUAUGUAGAAUCGAUUGUAAGCGAUUGUUAGCUAAUACUUAUCGAGAAUCGACUAUGUAUUUAUUUCUUCUCAUUGUCAGCAUUACGUAGGGUCUCCGCGUCAAGGAGUUGGGCGGAUUGCAUUCAAGGGUUAAGUGAAAUCAAUUGUGCGGCCUUUGCAAAGAAUCAAUUGAUGUGCGUAUUAUAAGAAACAAGACGAAGUCAAGAAAGAAAGAAUCAACGAGAGAGGGAAGCAAUAAGAGUAAGGAAGGUUUGUUGCAUCUAGCCUUCCUUAGUUAUAGCAAAACGGAGGCUCGUCCGGCAACGUAUGUGUUAAAAUUAAAUUUAGCCAAAAA